rnacentral:tRNA from 1 species
GAAAUAUAGGCUAAUCAUUUAAACCAUGGACCUUCAAAGCCCAAACUGUGAAAAACAUCACUAGUCUGCCUAAGACUGG